rnacentral:rRNA from 1 species
ACCCGCUGAACUUAAGCAUAUCAAUAAGCGGAGGAAAAGAAACCAACAGGGAUUGCCUCAGUAACGGCGAGUGAAGCGGCAACAGCUCAAAUUUGAAAUCUGGCCUUACGGUCCGAGUUGUAAUUUGUAGAGGAUGUUUUGGGUACCGCCGCGGUUUAAAUUUCUUGGAACAGAAUGUCAGAGAGGGUGAGAGUCCCGUCUUGGAUUGCGGCAGGGCCUGUGUAAAACUCCUUCGACGAGUCGACUUGUUUGGGAAUGCAGGUCAAAAUGGGUGGUAAAUUUCAUCUAAAGCUAAAUAUUGGCCAGAGACCGAUAGCGCACAAGUAGAGUGAUCGAAAGAUGAAAAGCACUUUGAAAAGAGAGUUAAACAGUAUGUGAAAUUGUUGAAAGGGAAGCGCUGGCAACCAGACUCGUGCGCGGGGUUCCCCCUUGCUUCUGCUUGGGUCACUUCCCCGUGUCCGGGCCAUCAUCAGUUUCGGGGGCCGGUUAAAGGCUCUGGGAAUGUAUCUACUCCUUCGGGGGUAGACUUAUAGCCCAGGGUGUCAUGCGGCCACUCGGGACUGAGGAACGCGCUUCGGCGAGGAUGAUGGCGUAAUGGUUGUCAGCGACCCGUCUUGAAACACGG